GAUGAACGCUGGCGGCGUGCCUAAUACAUGCAAGUCGAGCGGCAGCAUGGCCUUCGGGCUGAUGGCGAGCGGCGGACGGCUGAGUAACGCGUAGGAAUAUACCCCAAAGUGAGGGAUAACUGCCCGAAAGGGUGGCUAAUACCGCAUGUGAUCUUCGGAUUAAAGCUUUUAGCGCUUUGGGAAUAGCCUGCGUUCGAUUAGCUAGUUGGUGAGGUAAAGGCUCACCAAGGCGACGAUCGAUAGCUGGUCUGAGAGGAUGAUCAGCCAGACUGGAACUGAGACACGGUCCAGACUCCUACGGGAGGCAGCAGUAGGGAAUUUUCCACAAUGGGCGAAAGCCUGAUGGAGCAACGCCGCGUGCAGGAUGAAGGCCUUCGGGUUGUAAACUGCCUUUAUAUGUGAAGAAUAUGACGGUAACAUAUGAAUAAGGGUCGGCUAACUACGUGCCAGCCGCCGCGGUAA
rnacentral:rRNA from 1 species